ACGGCUCAGUAACACGUAGCUAACCUACCCUUAAGUCAGGGAUAACCUCGGGAAACUGAGGGUAAUACUGAUAGGAGACAUCCCCUGGAUGAGUUGUCUCUUAAAUUCGUGCUUAAGGAUGGGGCUGCGGUGGAUUAGGCUGUUGGCGGGGUAAAGGCCCACCAAACCUAUGAUCCAUAAGGGCUCUUAGCGGAGAGGCCCUGAGAGGGAAUCUGAGACACUAUUCCCAGCCCUACGGGGUGCAGCAGUUAGGAAUAAUUUACAAUGCGCGCAAGCGUGAUAAUUUGAGCCAGAGUGUUUUUCAAUUGAAAGACUUUUGUGAAAUGUAAAAAGUUUCACGAAUAAGGACUGGGUAAGACUAGUGCCAGCCGCCGCGGUAAUACUAGCGGUCCAAGUCGCAGCCAUUUUUAUUGGGUCUAAAACAUCCGUAGCUUGCUUGAUAAGUCUUCUGUGAAAUUUUACGUCUAAAACGUAGAGCGUGCAGAAGGUACUGUCAAGCUAGAGACAGGAAGACGUAAGAAGUACAUUCAGAGUAGCGGUUAAAUGUGUUAAUCCUGGAUGGACUAACAAGAGCGAAGGCAUCUUACGAGGACGGUUCUGACAGUAAGGGAUGAAAGCUAGGGGCGCAAAUGGGAUUAGAUACCCCAGUAGUCCUAGCAGUAAACACUGCACACUAAACAUUAGUACCUCUUCGAGAGGUAUUAGUGCUGAAGGGAAGCCGGAGAGUGUGCUACCUGGGAAGUAUAGUCGCAAGGCCGAAACUUAAAGGAAUUGGCGGGGGAG
rnacentral:rRNA from 1 species